UUUUUUGCAUGGAAAUUUGGUGUCAGUUGUCAGAUCUGAGGUGAUACAGUGUAAUCCUCUCAGAUUACAAUGUAUCACCUCUUUUAUGUGUGUGUCACUUUUAUGUUACU